rnacentral:rRNA from 1 species
AUAUCAAUAAGCGGAGGAAAAGAAACCAACAGGGAUUGCCCUAGUAACGGCGAGUGAAGCGGCAACAGCUCAAAUUUGAAAUCUGGCCUUCGGGUCCGAAUUGUAAUUUGUAGAGGAUGCUUUGGGUGCGGUACCUUCCGAGUUCCCUGGAACGGGACGCCGGAGAGGGUGAGAGCCCCGUACGGUUGGAUACCAAGCCUAUGUAUAGCUCCUUCGACGAGUCGAGUAGUUUGGGAAUGCUGCUCUAAAUGGGAGGUAAAUUUCUUCUAAAGCUAAAUACCGGCCAGAGACCGAUAGCGCACAAGUAGAGUGAUCGAAAGAUGAAAAGCACUUUGAAAAGAGGGUUAAAUAGCACGUGAAAUUGUUGAAAGGGAAGCGUUUGCGACCAGACCUUUUCCAGGCGGAUCAUCCGGUGUUCUCACCGGUGCACUUCGCCUGGUUUAGGCCAGCAUCGGUUUUCUUAGGGGGAUAAAGGUUUAGGGCACGUAGCUCCUUCGGGAGUGUUAUAGCCCUCUACGUAAUACCCUUCGGGGGACCGAGGACCGCGCAUUGCAAGGAUGCUGGCGUAAUGGUCGUCAACGACCCGUCUUGAAACACGGACCAAGGAGUCGAACAUUUGUGCGAGUGUUUGGGUGUUAAACCCUCACGCGUAAUGAAAGUGAACGGAGGUGAGAGCCCUUCGGGGUGCAUCAUCGACCGAUCCUGAUGUCUUCGGAUGGAUUUGAGUAAGAGCAUAACUGUUCGGACCCGAAAGAUGGUGAACUAUGCGUGGAUAGGGUGAAGCCAGAGGAAACUCUGGUGGAGGCUCGCAGCGGUUCUGACGUGCAAAUCGAUCGUCAAAUCUGCGCAUGGGGGCGAAAGACUUAUCGAACCAUCUAGUAGCUGGUUACCGC